UGUUGUCGGCUGAAUAACAUCUGCCGUCUUCACUGUUAAAUUUCUAAUCUGUGCAAAGAUGGGAGAUUAACACGGACAGAACAACAAGAGGCGAUUAGAAUACAAUGUGGAAUUUGCCGGUGAAGAUUAAAACAAGUUCGUCAACCAUCCUGAGUUGACAACGAAAUGUAGAGAAAUGCUAUUGAUCGCAUAUACUAUGCUAGGUACAAUAAGCUUACAUUUACGCUUGAUAGUUAUACAGAGAAGUGAAACUCUGCUGCUAGUGGUUUCAAAUGAUAGAGAUUUGAUUCUUUUAAUAUGGAUGCUAGAAAAAUGGAGACUUUUCGCCCGGGCAACGCCCUGUUACUAAAGUAGUAAUGUUGUAUUCGUUACUUCUCGGUUUUAUGGAAAAUACGACUAACGAAUUGGUAAAUAGCGUUCAUAACUACAAAAACUGGCUCGGAAGUCAGGAUUUCUACUGGAGAACUGGGGUAGCUAAAACUAUAUCGAGUUCACGACGAUAUGACGUAACAAGAUGGCAGCCAAAGUUACAAAGUUGAACGUUUUGAACGAGUAAUGAAGUCAAAUCCACACGCAGUAAGAAAGGCGUCGUACGAUGGCUACAUGAAAACGAGAUACAGUUGGCUUCUCUGAUAACGGAUCGUCAUUUACAAAUCGUGUUUUAAUCAUAUUUGACUUUUAUGAUACAUUUUGCAUGACCACAUCUAUUUACCCCUGUACUGUUUUACUCGAGGAAAUUAGAAUAACAAUACUCUUCUGACGGAAAUGUAUUUCGAAUCGUUUGGACUACUCACUCAAAAAGUCACUUUAAAUCACAGUAUUAAAAUCGCUGUCGUGAGAAGAUAGGGCGGGACGUUAUAAAACAAAUUCUAAAUUGGAUCUGAAAUUAAAAUAAAUUAAAAAACAAAUUAUUCCGUAGUCAAUUGUUUUAUUU